CAGAAACAGUCAGCGCGGAGAGGACUGUGCAGCAGCUUCCAGGAACUGCCUCACUCAUGCUUUGAUAUUCAUCCUCUGCAGAAAUCUGCUCAUCUCUGCAGCUUCAAAGCAGCACGCAGGAAUCAGAGAUGCUUACAUCAGCAGGAGACCUGGGAGAUGUUCUAUGGCAUCUCUGCCAUCGUACAGGGCUGGAGGGACUGGCCGGGCCUUCAGUGGAAAGGACAGGUGUUGCCAGGGCCCCCAAGUGAAAGCUACCACAGAGGCACCCAGAGAUGAAUAAUCAUGGGAACCACACUUCCCUUCAUCAAGAUUAGCCUAGGGUUGGAUGUGUGACUCAAUUCCAGCUAGGAAGACAGAGAAGUCUGUUGGGGACCUGGUGAAUGUUUUUUCCCUUUAAGAAAAAAUCUGGAGCCUUCUGUUUUCCAUCUUGGAACAUAACUGUGAAGAUGUAGAGCUUGGAAUUGUAGCAGCCAUGUAGUGACUACAAGGUGACAAGCCUGAGGAUAGAAGCUGAAAGGCCAGUUAGGGAGAAGCUAUGUUCUUGACGAUAUCAUUGAGCCUUGGUCAGAACCAGUCCUGGAAUGGCCAACCUCCAGACUUCUUGUUAUUGCAGAUAAAUAAAGGUUUA
rnacentral:lncRNA from 1 species